rnacentral:rRNA from 1 species
UACGUAGGGGGCGAGCGUUGUCCGGAUUUAUUGGGCGUAAAGAGCGUGUAGGCGGCCAGGUAGGUCUGCUGUGAAAACUCGAGGCUCAACCUCGAGACGUCGGCGGAAACCAUCUGGCUAGAGUCCGGAAGAGGAGAGUGGAAUUCCUGGUGUAGCGGUGAAAUGCGCAGAUAUCAGGAAGAACACCUAUGGCGAAGGCAGCUCUCUGGGACGGUACUGACGCUGAGGAGCGAAAAGCGUGGGGAGCGAACAGG